rnacentral:rRNA from 1 species
AUUGAACGCUGGCGGCAGGCCUAACACAUGCAAGUCGAGCGAGCGGCGGACGGGUGAGUAAUGUCUGGGAAACUGCCUGAUGGAGGGGGAUAACUACUGGAAACGGUAGCUAAUACCGCAUACCAUCAGAUGUGCCCAGAUGGGAUUAGCUAGUCGGUGGGGUAACGGCUCACCGAGGCGACGAUCCCUAGCUGGUCUGAGAGGAUGACCAGCCACACUGGAACUGGGACACGGCCCAGACUCCUACGGGAGGCAGCAGUGGGGAAGAUUGCACAAGGGGGGCAAGCCUGAUGCGUCCAUGCCGCGUGUGGGAAGAAGGCCUUCGGGUUGUAAAGCACUUUCAGCGGGGAGGCGUUACCCGCAGAAGAAGCACCGGCUAACUCCGUGCCAGCAGCCGCGGUAAUAC